UGGGUAACCUGCCUCAAAGAGGGGAAUAGCCUCCCGAAAGGGAGAUUAAUACCGCAUAAUAUGUUUAGGUCGCAUGACUUUAACAUCAAAGGAUUUCUUUUAGAAAUUCCACUUUGAGAUGGACCCGCGGCGCAUUAGCUAGUUGGUGAGGUAACGGCUCACCAAGGCAACGAUGCGUAGCCGGCCUGAGAGGGCGACCGGCCACACUGGGACUGAGACACGGCCCAGACUCCUACGGGAGCAG
rnacentral:rRNA from 1 species